rnacentral:misc_RNA from 1 species
UGGUUCUGGCAUCGAUGAAGAACGCAGCGAAAUGCGAUAAGUAAUGCGAAUUGCAGAAUUUCCGUGAGUCAUCGAAUCUUUGAACGCACAUUGCGCCCUCUGGUAUUCCGGAGGGCAUGCCUGUUCGAGCGUCAUUAUCCUCCCUCAAACCCCUCAGGUUUGGUGUUGGACCGCGUCGGUGGUUAAUUUCACUGACUGGUCUCAAAGACAAUGACGGCGUCCGUGGGACCCUCUUCGCACUGAGCUUUUCGGAGCACGCGUCGAGUUACAAGGUUCUAGGGGCCCGGUCACUCCUUUUAUUUUUCUAGGUUGACCUCGGAUCAGGUAGGAAUACCCGCUGA